GCACUGAUGAGGAGUCCCACAAUAGGACGAAACAGUUGUCCAGUGC
rnacentral:hammerhead_ribozyme from 1 species